rnacentral:lncRNA from 1 species
AUCUCUGAGUUAGAGUAAACUGUCAAGACUUAAAACUUACUUACUUUACCUUCACCAUGGGACUUGUAACCGUCACUUCUGUCUUUAGUGGUUAAAAGAUAGAACAGUCUAGCCAAGUGCCAUGUCUCUUAUUCUUGAUCAGCUAUAGCUCUGGGGUUUUUGCAGAUUUUCAAAUAAAACUCAGAAAUUCCUUGUAUGAUUCUCUCAGGUCUCUCUUUUGUGGUAUUUUUGGAUCCUUACCAAGGCAUUGAUGGUAUAUGCCUUCUCUCAAGAUAUGUAGUAUUUGUGGUACAAGGCAUAGUGACAUUGCCUUCUCUCUCACCCUACACUAAUAAGGCUUUAAUAUCUGGAGCUCAUAGGUGGGAGAUAAAAUAUACAUACUUACAAGACAUUUAUUGCAUAGUCAAACCAUGGAUCCAAAGAAACAAGCCAAUAAGUUUAAUCAAGAUGUGCAUGUGUGGCGAAUGAAGGUGUAUGGUGAUAACAAUGGUGAAAACAAUGGUGGUGGAAGUCUAAUUCUACUUUGCUCUUUUGAGGGGAUACAUACCUUCCUUGCUUUUGAAACUUUACGAGGAGAAUGAGAUGCUCUUCUUUUACUUGUCUCUCAAGUGGGUAUCUUGCACCCCUAAUUCUACGGUCGGACACUUGUCCAUUUUUACCUCUCGUCUCACUUUUUCUUUUCUUUCGAGGUUCCGAGCACUUGCUCCUUUUUAUUUCCUCGUAUAUAUUAUUUUUUUUUCUUUUUAUUUUUUUUAGAGCACUCAUCUCUUGAGAUAAUAUAGCAAGUGGUAGUAACAAGAUAACUUGAGCAUUUAUUUCACAAGGGGAAAAUAGAAAUAUUUUUGGUUAUUCUCUCCCGGAUUAGGAGUAGAAUAUUUUUAGGUGGUUCUGGAGAUGGAAAUGAAUGGAUAUAUGUGGAUGGUACUUCCGGAGUAGAAGUAGCAUAUAUGAGUGAACGUGCAAGUGAAAUCUUGAUUUAACCACAUGACAAGCUCCUAAGGGUCUACACAGCUUGACCACACUCAAUGCUCAUAAGCAGUAAAUAGUAAAUGUGUGGCUCAAAGUCUAGCAAGCAUGUAUAUAUGGCUGUGGUAGGAAUUUAAGCUCUCAUCAUACAGGAACUCAUCAUGCAACAUUUUAAAGUUUUUAAAGAUAAAAUUCUCCAGAAUUCUAGCAUCUCUAGGAACAGAUAAACAGCAGGUCAACCUUCCCAUAUCGUAUCCGUUAACAACUUAGACUUCAGAUCAAGUUUUCAUCCCAC